rnacentral:rRNA from 1 species
GACGAACGCUGGCGGCGUGCUUAACACAUGCAAGUCGAACGGAAAGGCCCUGCUUUUGUGGGGUGCUCGAGUGGCGAACGGGUGAGUAACACGUGAGUAACCUGCCCUUGACUUUGGGAUAACUUCAGGAAACUGGGGCUAAUACCGUAUAGGAGCUCCUGCUGCAUGGUGGGGGUUGGAACGUUUCGGCGGUUGGGGAUGGACUCGCGGCUUAUCAGCUUGUUGGUGGGGUAGUGGCUUACCAAGGCUUUGACGGGUAGCCGGCCUGAGAGGGUGACCGGCCACAUUGGGACUGAGAUACGGCCCAGACUCCUACGGGAGGCAGCAGUGGGGAAUAUUGCACAAUGGGCGGAAGUCUGAUGCAGCAACGCCGCGUGCGGGAUGACGGCCUUCGGGUUGUAAACCGCUUUCGCCUGUGACGAAGCGUGAGUGACGGUAAUGGGUAAAGAAGCACCGGCUAACUACGUG